CAAUAGCGUAUAUUUAAGUUGCUGCAGUUAAAAAGCUCGUAGUUGGAUUUCGGGUGGGAAUGGCCGGUCCGCCGUUUCGGUGUGCACUUGCUACGCCCACCUUGCUGCCGGGGACGUGCUCUUGAGUUCACGCUCGGGACACGGAGUCGGCGAGGUUACUUUGAGUAAAUUAGAGUGUUCAAAGCAGACCUGAUUAUGUCUGAAUAUUCGUGCAUGGAAUAAUAAAAUAAGAACUUGGUUCUAUUUUAUUGGUUUUCGGAACUCGAGUUAAUGAUUAAGAGGGACAGACGGGGGCAUCCGUACUCUGCCGUUAGAGGUGAAAUUCUUGGAUCGGCGGAAGACGCGCAACUGCGAAAGCAUUUGCCAAGAAUGUUUUCUUUAA
rnacentral:rRNA from 1 species